rnacentral:rRNA from 1 species
AACUAACAAGGAUUCCCCUAGUAACUGCGAGUGAACCGGGAAAAGCUCAAAUUUUGAAUCUGGCGGUCCAAGGGCCGUCCGAGUUGUAAUCUAGAGAAGCGUCUUCCGCGCUGGACCGUGUAUAAGUUUCCUGGAAUGGAACGUCGUAGAGGGUGACAAUCCCGUCUUUGACACGGACUCCCAGUGCUAUGUGAUGCGCUCUCGACGAGUCGAGUUGUUUGGGAAUGCAGCUCAAAUAGGGUGGUAAAUUCCAUCUAAAGCUAAAUACAGGCGAGAGACCGAUAGCGAACAAGUACCGUGAGGGAAAGAUGAAAAGAACUUUGGAAAGAGAGUUAAACAGUACGUGAAAUUGCUGAAAGGGAAACGCUUGAUGUCAGUCGCAUCGUCCGGGGAUCAGCCUCGCUCUUUUGCUCGGCGUACUUCCUGGUCGAUGGGUCAGCAUCGGUUUCGACCGUCGGAAAAUGGCUCGAGGAACGUGGCACUCUUCGGGGUGUGUUAUAGCCUCGAGUCGAAUACGACGGUCGGGACCGAGGAACUCAGCACGACCUUCGGGUUCGGGGCUUCGGCUCACGUUCGCGUGCUUAGGAUGCUGGCAUAAUGGCCUUAAGCGACCG